AUGGGUAGUGGCAGUUUGACCACCAAGCAAAGAAAGGGACAUCGAAACCUUCCUGAAUGCCUGGUGCUCUGGGGCAAGGCUUUCUGAGGUCCAGUGCAUGGUGUCCCAGAAUGUGAAAGACAUUUUGGCAGAAUCCAGGAAGCUGAAAAGGGCCUUGGAGAAGAAGUCCAGCGUUUUCCAUGAUGCAUGAAAGACACAAGUCAGCCUGGCCACUCUUGAAAGUGCUACAGUCCCAGCUACAGAAGACCUAGAAAAAAAAACCCCUUCUCAUCAUCCAUGUCCUAGGCAUUGUUAAGGGCUUCAACAUCAGGAACUCCUGGGAUUUUGUAAGUGUAAUGACAUUAAAGAAUCUGCCUCAGACCACAGAACCCUUCCACCCGACGUGCACCGAGAAUGUCCAUCUGCGCUAUUUCCUCCAUCAGAACGUGAGCUUUUGGAGAGCAGGGACUGUCUCUGCUUUUCUAUUUGUAUACCCAGCAUGGAGCACACACAAUGCUUCAUCCGAAUUUUGUAUCAGUCAAGGAAUUCCCACCAGAGAUGCUGGAGUGGAGGACAAUGAGGAUAAAGGGAAGUCAUUAACCAACAAAAAACAAUUUGAAUUCACAAAAGCCAUGCCCUUUACCAGGCCUGCACCAGUAUUGACAAGAUUUAGGAAAGAAGUGACCAGGAGGGCCAAAAGGUAUAGGCUCCAGCAGCACUAACUGGGAGUGCAUCUCAUCACCUUGCACAACAGUUAACCUCCACCCCACCCCCAGGGCCCUGCUCCAGAUCACCAGAGACCUUACCCCCUCCCCAUGUCAACUUCCAAUAGCAGCUAACCUUAUUGCAGCAUCCUGGGGUGCAUUUUCUUUUUUUCUGUAAAUACAUUUUUAUUAACAUCUUUUUUAUAUAUAACCUACAUUUCCCAAUAGAAUUCUUUUCUUCUCCCUUUCGCAGACAGCAAAACUAGCCAAUAUAUUGGAAAAGCCUCAUUAUUUUUUAUACAGCAUUCCAUAUCUCGAAUCUCCCACCUGCACAAAGAAGCAGGGGAGGUGCUGGGGUACACUUUCAAUUCCAGUGGUCUUUUGGUCCAGAGGCAGCAAACACACAGCCCUUGGGCUGCAUGUAACCAGCCACUGAGCAAAGCCCCAACUAGAUGACCAUGUAAGUCCUAUUUGUUUUUAAUGCACUGAUAUAUUAAUGAAAGAAGAACAUAUAAACCUGUGUGGCUUUCUAAGUCACUAUGCAGCCCACAAGAAUCCUUACAUAUGAUUAGGGGUCCCCAUUUCGGGUUGAGUUUAACACCAUUGAUACUGGUCAACCCAUUGCUCCCAAAUAAUUUCCUCCACAGCAUACCCAACAAGUGGGCAGCUGGCCUCUGCUUGACGAUUGCCCCCAAGAGGGGAUGAUAACCUCCCCAAGUGGCCCAUUUGACUUUUGACAGCUCUCAUUGUUAUCAACCCCGCUCCUAUUAAGCAUAAAUUUGCAUCAUUGCAGCAUCCAAAGUUAGUCAAGUGAACGUGUAUUUAUUAAGUGCCUACUACCUGUCAGGCACUGAGCUAACUCCUACCCUAAGG